AAGGGGGCUCUGAGCAAUAGAAGCUGCUAAUUUCUUUUCCCUUGGUUAGACUCCAAGGUCCUUUCG
rnacentral:tRNA from 1 species